UGAUGCUUAGCAGGAGGUGGUGCUUAACUUACCGAUACAUGUUGCUCAUAUGUAGAAUCUUCUGGGGCGACGAGGAUAAAACUUGCUUCCUAGUGUCCUUCUUGUGUUCGUUGUGUUGAGCCUUGUAAAUCACCGUGGUCCUAACCUUAAACGUUGGAAUUUCCAUUCGUCAAGGUUUCCAAAUCUCUUGCCAUUGUACUUUUCUUUUAUGUUUUAUCGAAGAAUUUUUAAAAAUAAGAAUUCCAAGAAUAAGAACGUACGAAAAAUCUACAAGUGAACAAGAAAACGAAAAACCUUGAAUGCGAGAGUCUUUUACGAGCGUUUGAUCAAGACUUUCAAUGAAAGCACCAA
rnacentral:lncRNA from 1 species